GAUGAACGCUGGCGGCGUGCCUAAUACAUGCAAGUCGAGCGAACAGACGAGGAGCUUGCUCCUCUGACGUUAGCGGCGGACGGGUGAGUAACACGUGGAUAACCUACCUAUAAGACUGGGAUAACUUCGGGAAACCGGAGCUAAUACCGGAUAAUAUAUUGAACCGCAUGGUUCAAUAGUGAAAGACGGUUUUGCUGUCACUUAUAGAUGGAUCCGCGCCGCAUUAGCUAGUUGGUAAGGUAACGGCUUACCAAGGCGACGAUGCGUAGCCGACCUGAGAGGGUGAUCGGCCACACUGGAACUGAGACACGGUCCAGACUCCUACGGGAGGCAGCAGUAGGGAAUCUUCCGCAAUGGGCGAAAGCUUGACGGAGCAACGCCGCGUGAGUGAUGAAGGUCUUCGGAUCGUAAAACUCUGUUAUUAGGGAAGAACAAAAGUGUAAGUAACUAUGCACGUCUUGACGGUACCUAAUCAGAAAGCCACGGCUAACUACGUG
rnacentral:rRNA from 1 species